rnacentral:rRNA from 1 species
GCUUGCUGCAUGCUUUAUACAUGCAAGUCGAACGAAGGCCCUAGCUUGCUAGGUGUCCUUAGUGGCGCACGGGUGAGUAACACGUGGGAACAUACCUUAUAGUACGGAAUAACUGCGGGAAACUGUAGCUAAUACCGUAUAUUCCAGUAAUGGGAAAGAUUUAUCGCUAUAAGAUUGGCCCGCGCAAGAUUAGCUUGUUGGUGAGGUAAAAGCUCACCAAGGCUUCGAUCUUUAGCUGGUUUGAGAGGAUGAUCAGCCACACUGGGACUGAGACACGGCCCAGACUCCUACGGGAGGCAGCAGUAGGGAAUAUUGGACAAUGGGGGCAACCCUGAUCCAGCAAUGCAGCGUGAGUGACGAAGGCCUUAGGGUUGUAAAACUCUUUCAUCGGUGAGGAUAAUGACAGUAGCCGAAGAAGAAGGACCGGCUAAUUCCGUGCCAGCAGCCGCGGUAAUACGGAAGGUCCUAGCGUUGUUCGGAAUUACUGGGCGUAAAGCGCAUGUAGGCGGAACAGAAAGUUAGAAGUGAAAUCCCUGGGCUCAACCUAGGAAUUGCUUUUAAAACUUCUGUUCUGGAAUUCAGGAGAGGAAAAUGGAAUUUCCAGUGUAGAGGUGAAAUUCGUAGAUAUUGGAAGGAACACCAGUGGCGAAGGCGAUUUUCUGGACUGAUAUUGACGCUGAGAUGCGAAGGCAUGGGUAGCAAACGGGAUUAGAUACCCCGGUAGUCCAUGCAGUAAACGAUGGGUGCUAGUCGUCGGACUUAUGUUCGGUGUCGUAGCUAACGCGUUAAGCACCCCGCCU